CUUGUCUCUCAGAACUCCCAAAUCCCUCCUCUGGAGAGCGGGGACGAUGCUGAUGGCUACAUCCUGGAGCUGUCGAAUGGCGAAGACAGUCUCUCAGCUUACAUGUGAGGAGAUGGAGGCCCAGAGAGGCAAAUGUCCCCAAGCAAGUCGAGGGUGAGCCAGGACCAGGGCCCUCGUCACCUGGUGAGGCCAGGCCGUCCCACCACACCUCAUCUGGAGAACAAGCCAAGACCCCACACCUUCCGGCACCCAAAGGAAAGCCUCUGCAUCACACGCAGCUAGGAGCCAGGUGGCUGGCCAGAGCCCUGGGUGCCCACAGAGCCCAGGCACUGGGGCUGCAACCAGGGUCCUGUCCUUCCACAGAUGAGGUGCAGAGGUGAUGCGUGGCGGCUGGCCCUGCAAACCACAGGAAUAAAGGAAAAGUGAG